rnacentral:tRNA from 1 species
GUUAUUUUGGCAGAUUAGUGUGGUAGAUUUAGAUUCUAUUUAUAUAGGAGUAGUUCCUUUAGGUAAUA